rnacentral:lncRNA from 1 species
UAACAACUUUCUGCUGUGAUGCAAAAAUCUCAAUGAUAUAAUUACUAAAACCAUUUAUACUGAUUACAUUGACAGAAUUUACUAUUUCAACACAAACAAAUACACAUUACCCAUUACACCGUAAGAACAGUCUGAAGCAGAAGCCGAAUAGAAUGUAGCACUAGCACAAAAUACAUUCACAAAAGGCUCAAAUACAGAAAUAUCUAUCCAAUUAGAUGAAAUAUGGUCCUCAACAAUGUAUAGCUAGGUUUGUGUAGAAUUAAAGUAGCAUCAAUCUAUGCGACCAGUGGCCACGACAGCUUGGCCAGGAAGAUCUUACAACUGACACAAUUCACUCAUCUAUGAUCACCUCAAGAAACCUGGACAGUGCUCAUGUUGGAAAGAAUGUCCAAAACCAAUUUUUUAUAAACACAUAACUGUAUCACACGCACGAUUUCAAUAACACAAUAAAAAGAACAAUACAUAAGGGUUAUGCACAAGAAAAAAGGGUAAAAACAGAGCGCUAAAAGAGAACAAAGUUAGAAUGGAUCAGAUUUCUGGCUUGGAACCCUCUGAUAAGGAUUUGAUGUGCGCACAUUAUAAUCAUAGUCGAUCAUUUGGGGAAAGGAUCUUCACUUCCAUUGAAUUUACAAAUCAGAGCAGAAAAACAUAAGUAAAAUACCAACGGUACAAACAUAGAGAGAAGAGAGGGAUAGAGAUUGUUGGACAAUGGAUCAGAUUUCUGGCUUGGAAUCCUCUGAUAAAGGAUUUCAUUUGCGCACAGUAUAAUCAUAGUCGAUCAGCUGGGGAAAGAAUCCUCACUUCCAUCUUAACCAAAAAAGCAAUCUCCGACAAGAAACUCGGCAAACCACUCCAAAUAGUUUAGGACAGCCAUCACAGGACAUCAACCCAUUGAAAGAUUCAAUCUGGAGAAAUAUGCACAAUAUCUAAUGUUACAAAAUGUAACAGAAGACAGAUAACACGGGGCGGUUCCAUAAAGCCCCGUGCUGUUAAAUGCUGGCCGGUGUUUCCGCUCAUCUAUGCUCCCCUCUACAGGAUGACCAAACCAUAAACAACAGGCCAUCCUUCCAGUUGUGAAGCAACACAACAUUUGUUCAGCAAUCAAGCAGAAAAAACAAAAAAUCCAGUUCUAGCGGAUGAACAAUAUGAUCAACAAUAAUCCUCAGUUCAGGUCUCCAAAUUGCUUCCGCAUCGCACCAUAGUGCAUCAGAAGAACGAAAGUAUUUAGUUUGAUCAUCAUCGGACAGCUUCCAACAUCAGAUAAAAAAGCACAAAAACAAAAGAAAAAGAACUAGCAUGUUUGAUGACAGUAUUUAUCAACACAUAAAGAUGCAAAGGCUCAGAUUUGUUUAACAGGUUUUUCAGUCAUGAAUUUUCAGAAGCAGAACUGGCAUGUAUGCUGGCGGGUGUUUCCGCUCAUCCAUGCUUCCGUCUACAGGAUGACCAACUGUAAACAACAUGCCAUCCUUCCAGUUGUGAAGCACCAAACACAAAAUUUGUUCAGCACUCAAGCAGAAAAAACUAAAAAUCGAGUUCGGGCGGAUGAACAAUAAUCCUCAGUUCAGGUCUCCAAAUUGCUUCCACAUCGCACCUUAGUGCAUCAGAAGAACGAAAGUAUUUAGUUUGAUCAUCGUCAGACAGCUUCCACCAUCAUAAAAAAAGCACAAAAACAAAAGAAGCAGAACAAUGUUUGAUGAAAGUGUUUAUCAACACAUAAAUCUAAAAGAAGAUGCAAAGGCUCAGAUUAGUUUUACAGGUUUUGCAGUCAUGAAUUUUCAGAAGCAGAACUGGCAUGUUUGCUGAAAGUGUUUAUCAUCACAGCCAUGGUCAACCAGAACACAUAAAUCUAAAAGAAUGACAAUAGUGAGAGUUGGUCUUUUUGGCUCAUAUUAAGAAAUUCAACCAUGUUUCCCCUUGUCCUUCAAGAACUAAUCAGAAGCGCGGGUAAGAUUCAAAUCACUGCCACUAAUCAAAAGAAGUCCACAUAUGAGAUGGGCAUAUGUGCAGACAAGAUAACAUGAUAAAAGUCAUUUGACGUUGAUGGGUGACAUCAGAUAAUAAGCGGAGUUUUGUAAACAUAUGAAUGAUUCAGUGCUUAGCAUAUAAUAUUUAACAUCAUUUGCCACCCUGGGUUUGAUAGUCUUUCUUGGAAAAAACAAGGAAGACAAAUAGAGCGCUUUGUGCAAGGCAUCAGAUAAUAAGAUGAGAUUAAUAAUCCACACAUGGAAUUUUCCAUUGAGAGUGUAGGAUAUCAGAUCAUCACUUGCCAGCUCGAAAAUCCAAGAACAAUAUCUGAGUAGAAAAUCUUGGUUAGACCAUUUGACCCAAGAGCAAGGGCAAACGCUGCAAAGGGUUGGUAAGUAAACCAUUUCUCUAUCCGGGCCUGCUACAGCCCCCUCAGAUCCGAGUGCAACUAAGAGGGACACUAGAAGCUAAGCGCAAACAUGACAAAAAGCAGAAGAAUAAAGACGGACAUUUUUUCUCUCAGAUGCCAACCACAAGGGUAGCACAGAUGAUGCAGACAUAUCAACAUGGCAUCAGUUCAGACCGCCCGUCUGCUUGAAACUCUUCAUAGAGAAAGAUUUUAAACCAAAAAUUAACAACAACGAUCAAAGCAAAUAAAAAAUCUAUGCACAUUUGUGUCCAGAUAACAGAAAAAUAUCACAAAAAACCACAAAUAUAAAAAAAGUAUAAUAUGUUGUUUGGUCAGAUCCCUCAGAGUGAUAAUAUAGAUCUCAUCAAUGUAUGAUUCAGGCCACUACUUUUUAACAUCACAAGUCAUCACCGGGAUCCACAGACAACAAUCUCCAAUUAGGAAAGAAAAAUCAACCAGAAACGCUACACAGAUUCCUCAGUUCAAACAAGAAUAUUUAAAGAGUUUCAUAACGAACGGUUGAGCCGUCAGACAAUGCUUUCUAGGCAAAUGCAUCUCCAUCAGACUGCAGCAAUGUUCGCUGCUCGGAGCCCAGUGCAUAUCAUCAUCCAUGACAUCAAGACAUAUACAACCAAACAAUAGCAGAGCAAAAGUGAAGGAAGAGAAUCAACGAACAAUG